rnacentral:rRNA from 1 species
UAACGUAGGGGGCGAGCGUUGUCCGGAUUUAUUGGGCGUAAAGAGCGUGUAGGCGGCCAGGUAGGUCUGCUGUGAAAACUCGAGGCUCAACCUCGAGACGUCGGCGGAAACCAUCUGGCCUAGGAGUCCGGAAGAGGAGAGUGGAAUUCCUGGUGUAGCGGUGAAAUGCGCAGAUAUCGGAAGGAACAUCAGUGGCGAAAGCGGACUUCCUUGGACCAGUACCGACGUCAGGCACGAAAGCGUGGGGAGCAAACAGG